rnacentral:lncRNA from 1 species
CUGGACUUAAGAGAUCCUACCACAGCAGAUCCAGCAGCAGAUCCAGCUGAGGAUCCCAGUCCCCAUUAACCAUUUCCCCCCCCAAACCCAGCCGAAUCUACGAGAUCCUGCUGCAGCGGAUCCUAGAGAUGCUGCAGUCCCCAUUAACCCUUUCCUCACCCCAGUCCCAGCCGGAUCUAUGAGAUCCUGCCUUGGUGGAUCCAGCAGUGGAUCCAGCAGUGGAUCCCAGGGAUCCUGCAGCCCCCAUUAACCCUUUUCCCCACCAAUCCCAGCCAGAUCUACGAGAUCCUGCCGCAGCGGAUCCAGCAGUGGAUCCCAGCCCCUAUUAACCCUUUCCUCCCCCCGAUCCCUGCCAGUUCUACGAGAUCCUGCCGCAGCGGAUCCAGCAGUGGAUCCCAGGGAUCCUCCAACCCUCAUUAACCCUUUCCUCCCCCCGAUCCCAGCCGGAUCUACAGGAUCCUACCACAGCAGAUCCAGCAGUGGAUCCCAGGGAUCCUGGAGCCACCAUUAACCCUUUCCUCACCCCAAUCCCAGCUGGAUCUACAAGAUCCUGCUGCAGCGGAUCCAGCAGUAGACCCCAGCCCCCAUUAACCCUUUCCUCACCCCAAUCCCAGCCAGAUGUAUGAGAUCCUGCCGCAGCGGAUCCAGCAGCGGAUCCAGCAGUGGAUCCAGGAAUCCUGCAGCCCCCAUUAACCCUUUCCUCCCCCCGAUCCCAGCCGGAUCUACGAGAUCCUGCCGCAGCGGAUCCAGCAGUGGCAGCAGAGCCCGUGCGUGGCGGAGGAGCACGGCAAGCGGCUGCUGGAGCGCAUCCGGCGCGAGCAGCACCAGGCGCGGCUGCGGCUGCAGGAGAUGGAGCGGCGCUUCCACGAGCUCGAGGGGCUCAUCGCCCGCGCCAAGGGGCACCCACCCCGCGAGGAUGAGGAGAGCACGGAGGGGGACAGCGAGGACACGGACUUGCAGAUCUUCUGCGUGUCCUGUGGCCACCCCAUCAACCCCAAGGUGGCCCUGAGGCACAUGGAGC